rnacentral:rRNA from 1 species
GAUGAACGCUGGCGGCGUGCUUAACACAUGCAAGUCGAACGGAAAGGCCCUGAUCUUGCGGGGUGCUCGUGUGGCGAACGGGUGAGAAACACGUGAGUAAACCGCCCUUGUCUUUGGGAUAACUCCAGGAAACUGGGGCUAAUACAGGAGAGGAGCUCCUGCAGCAUGGUGGGGGAUGGAAAGUUUCGGCGGUGGGGGAUGGACUCGCGGGUUAUCAGCUUGUUGGUGGAGUAGUUGCUUACCAAGGCUUAGAAGGAUAGCCGGCCUGAGAGGGGGACCGGCGACAAGGGGCCUGCGAGACGGCCCAGACGCCUACGGGAGGCAGCAGUGGGGAAUAUUGCACAGUGAGCCGAAGCGUGAGACGACGGCGCCGCGUGCGGAAUGACCUCCUUCGGGGGAAGAACCGCUUUCGCCUGUGACGAAGCGGGAGUGACGGUAAUGGGUAAAGAAGCACCGGCUAACUACGUG